rnacentral:rRNA from 1 species
CGGGGAAUAUUGCACAAUGGGGGAAACCCUGAUGCAGCAACGCCGCGUGAGUGAUGACGGUCUUCGGAUUGUAAGCUCUGUCUUCAGGGACGAUAAUGACGGUACCUGAGGAGGAAGCCAUGGCUAACUACGUGCCAGCAGCCGCGGUAAUACGUAGGUGGCAAGCGUUGUCCGGAUUUACUGGGCGUAAAGGGAGCGUAGGUGGAUAUUUAAGUGGGAUGUGAAAUACUCGGGCUUAACCUGGGUGCUGCAUUCCAAACUGAAUAUCUAGAGUGCAGGAGAGGAAAGUAGAAUUCCUAGUGUAGCGGUGAAAUGCGUAGAGAUUAGGAAGAAUACCAGUGGCGAAGGCGACUUUCUGGACUGUAACUGACACUGAGGCUCGAAAGCGUGGGGAGCAAACAG